AUACGAAAGGUGCAAGCGUUGUUCGGAUUUACUGGGCGUAAAGAGAGUGUAGGUGGUUUAUUAAGUCGGAUGUGAAAUCACGGGGCUCAACCUCGGAACUGCAUUCGAUACUGAUAGGCUAGAGUUUGGGAGGGGUAAGCGGAAUUCCGUGUGUAGCAGUGAAAUGCGUAGAUAUACGGAGGAACACCUGAGGCGAAGGCGGCUUACUGGACCAAUACUGACACUGAGACUCGAAAGCGUGGGUAGCAAACAGGAUUAGAUACCCCAGUAGUCC
rnacentral:rRNA from 1 species